UAGGGAAUCUUCCACAAUGGGUGCAAGCCUGAUGGAGCAACGCCGCGUGAGUGAAGAAGGUCUUCGGAUCGUAAAACUCUGUUGUUAGAGAAGAACGUGUGUGAGAGUGGAAAGUUCACACAGUGACGGUAACUUACCAGAAAGGGACGGCUAACUACGCGCCAG
rnacentral:rRNA from 1 species